GAUGAACGCUAGCGGCAGGCCUAACACAUGCAAGUCGAGGGGUAACAUAGAAAAGCUUGCUUUUCUGAUGACGACCGGCGCACGGGUGCGUAACGCGUAUACAACCUACCUUUUAGCGGGGAAUAGCCCAGGGAAACUUGGAUUAAUGCCUCAUAGUAUAUAAGUCGUUCUCCUGAAGUUUAUAUUAAACAUUUAUGGCUAUUAGAUGGGUAUGCGUCCUAUUAGUUAGUUGGUAAGGUAACGGCUUACCAAGGCAGCGAUAGGUAGGGGUCCUGAGAGGGAGAUCCCCACACUGGUACUGAGACACGGACCAGACUCCUACGGGAGGCAGCAGUGAGGAAUAUUGGACAAUGGGCGAGAGCCUGAUCCAGCCAUGCCGCGUGCAGGAAGACUGCCCUAUGGGUUGUAAACUGCUUUUACAGAGGAAGAACCACCCCCACGUGUGGGGGUUUGACGGUACUCUGCGAAUAAGGAUCGGCUAACUCCGUG
rnacentral:rRNA from 1 species